CUGGCUGUCGGGCAGCGGCGGGUCCCGGCCCUGCGCGCGCCCGGCCCCUCCGAAGGGCCAUUGUCCGCUCCCGCAGGACACGGUGCCCCGUCGGCGGACCCCGGAGCCGGAACCCGGGCUGCCCAACGCGCGGAGGGGACGCGGCGCCCGGACUCCGAGGUCGAGCACAUUUCGGUCACAUCUUGGCUUUAGGCCCCUAGAUCGACGGCAUAGAUUAGAUUAAAAUGAAAAUUAGCGUUGCACGUAUGCAGAUUGCAUCAGAAUCUCGCAGUGAUUUAGUUUCCUGGGUUGGUUGCAUUGAUAGACUCUUUUUUUUUUUUAAUUUGUAAUGGGAGUUGUGAGCUGAUUUGCAUAACUUUGGAAGCAGAAUCGUUGUCAGCACACGGGGCGUUCGUUGGAGGGCACAAAAAGUAGGUUCGUAUGUGUUCAAGCCGAGUUGAAUUACAACCUGGAACUGCCUCUCCCAAGUUGUGUAGUUUGCGAUCAACAGUGUCACAGGUAACAGACGUCCUAAGCCGCUCUUGCUGCUCGGUCUUUCUGAAAUUUGCCUCCCCCCCCCCCCUUUCCUUGAUGGGGUGAUCCAGGACAGGGCAUGAGAUUUUGCAGCUCAGCCGCAUUUUAUGUUCAGUGGUCUUGUCUCACGUAGCAGAAUGGGGAUUAACUGCUUCUUGAUUGCGGAGGAGCGUGUUGUGUGGGUUCUGGGGUAUUGUGUGCAGCAAAUCGUGAUUGCAGACAUGAAGCUUCAGUUCUUCCUUGAAAUACAAGUGUCACUGCGACUCCAGAACUGGUGCUCACCUCAUCCAGCUUUCAGGACUCCUGACACCUCGUGAUGUCCGUUAAUUGCACUCGGGCUCGGGUGUAAGGUCAGGUGUAAUUUACCAGCUAAUCACCAGCAACGCAGGCAAGAGCUGAUCACUCCAGCUUCGCAUGGUGUAGAAUGGAAAGUAUCACAGACGUUCAGCGUUCCUGCUUAGGCCAGUGUCUAAGGCAUGAAAACAGAAUUGACUUGUGGGUCUGAGAUGCCCGCAGCAUCUUAUUAACAAGGCCUCUGUUAAGGCCAGAAGUUUGGUGAUGUGAAUUAUGACAGUGGACGGUAUUUAGUUCAAACGCGAUUGCAUCUGUUGUUACUGGAGGAUUCUUAAUAAAGCUCGUUUUUAGCCAACACCAGUAAACAUUUUGCCUAAAGGUGGAGUGGCGCUGAAGGAUCCAUAUGUCCUGCUAAACACUGUGGGGAGGAUUUGGUUUUUGAAGAAAAUGCUUUACAUCUGAAGAGGUUUUUUUUUUUCUAUAUUCCCUUUGGAUUACAUAGCAGCACAUAAACGUGCACAGCUAAUUCUACCCAAGUGUCUGUUUUGAGAUGAAGGUAAAAGUCACCGAAGAAGGAGCUUUCUAGCACACAAAACUCUACAGUAUUCUGUGGUGUGAGAUGGGAUUGUUGUAGCACUUAAAUCAAGACUGUCCAACAUGAU